rnacentral:rRNA from 1 species
GAUAUAUAGUUAUUGUGACUGGCUAGGAGACGCUAGCGGCAGGCUUAAUACAUGCAAGUCGAGGGGCAGCAUGACCGUAGCAAUACGGUUGAUGGCGACCGGCAAACGGGUGCGGAACACGUACACAACCUUCCUUUAAGCGGGGAAUAGCCCGGGGAAACCCGGAUUAAUACCCCAUAGUAUGGUGAAGGGGCAUCUCUUUACUCUUAAAGAUUUAUCACUUAAAGAUGGGUGUGCGGCUGAUUAGCUAGUUGGCGGGGUAACGGCCCACCAAGGCAACGAUCAGUAACUGGUGUGAGAGCACGACCAGUCACACGGGCACUGAGACACGGGCCCGACUCCUACGGGAGGCAGCAGUAAGGAAUAUUGGUCAAUGGACGAAAGUCUGAACCAGCCAUGCCGCGUGGAGGAUGAAGGUCCUCUGGAUUGUAAACUUCUUUUAUCUGGGGCGAAAAAAGGUUUUUCUAGACCGACUGACGGUACCAGAUGAGUAAGCACCGGCUAACUCCGUGCCAGCAGCCGCGGUAAUACGGAGGGUGCAAGCGUUAUCCGGAUUCACUGGGUUUAAAGGGUGCGUAGGUGGAUUGGUAAGUCAGUGGUGAAAUCUCCGGGCUUAACCCAGAAACUGCCAUUGAUACUAUCAGUCUUGAAUACCGUGGAGGUCAGUAGAAUAUGUCAUGUAGCGGUGAAAUGCUUAGAUAUGACAUAGAAUACCAAUUGCGAAGGCAGCUGGCUACACGAAUAUUGACACUCAGGCACGAAAGCGUGGGGAUCAAACAGGAUUAGAUACCCUGGUAGUCCACGCCCUAAACGAUGGAUACUCGACAUACGCGAUACACUGUGUGUGUCUGAGCGAAAGCAUUAGUAUCCCACCUGGGAG